AGCGAACGCUGGCGGCAGGCUUAACACAUGCAAGUCGAGCGGGCACUCUCGGGUGUCAGCGGCGGACGGGUGAGUAACGCGUGGGAACGUGCGCUCUGGUCCGGCACAACUCUGUGAAAUUUGAUCUAAUACCGGAUACUCCUUUUUGGGGGAAGGCUUGCUGCCGGAGGAUCGGCUCGCGUCUGAUUAGCUUGGUGGUGAGGUAACCGCCCGCCAAGGCGAGGAUCAGUAGCUGGUCUGAGAGGAUGAUCAGCCACACUGGGACUGGGACACGGCCCAGACUCCUACGGGAGGCAGCAGUGGUGGAUAUUGGACAAUGGGCGCGAGCCUGAACCAGCCAGGCCGCGAGGGUGAUGAAGGCCUUAGGGUUGUAAAGCUCUUUUAUCCGGGACGGUAAUGACGGUACCGGAGGAAUAAGCCCCGGCUAACUUCGUG
rnacentral:rRNA from 1 species